GCUUCCAAGAUCAGAUUAUGACAGUCAUUACAGAAAAUAGAGCUGGCUGAGGUCUGUGAUCUCUGAGAAGGAAGAGAAAUAAAAGUAAGAUUAUAGCAAAUGCUAAGAGAAUUACUUAUUAGGUAGUAUUCAAUAUUUAGUUUCUCCUAGUAGUUUAAUUACAUUGACUCCAUGACUUGUAAAACUGUAUGUGAUUUUAGUCAUUCAAUUUGUUUCAAAGGGGAUAGUAACUGAGAUAUUUAAUUGACAGACAAAUGUUUACUUUGAAUAUUUAAUUAGUGAUUCGUGGCACUUGUCACAAUUGCCUACCUAGCUUUUCUAAAAUGUGCGUG
rnacentral:lncRNA from 1 species